rnacentral:rRNA from 1 species
UUAAGUUAGAAAGGGCGCACGGUGGAUGCCUUGGCACUAGGAGCCGAAGAAGGACGGGACUAACACCGAUAUGCUUUGGGGAGCUGUACGUAAGCGUUGAUCCAGAGAUUUCCGAAUGGGGGAACCCACUAUCUUUAGUCGGAUAGUAUCCUUACGUGAAUACAUAGCGUGAGGAAGGCAGACCCAGGGAACUGAAACAUCUAAGUACCUGGAGGAAGAGAAAGAAAAAUCGAUUUCCUGAGUAGCGGCGAGCGAAACGGAAAGAGCCCAAACCAAGAAGCUUGCUUCUUGGGGUUGUAGGACACUCUAUACGGAGUUACAAAAGAAAGUUAUAAAUGAAGCGGUCUGGAAAGGCCCGCCAAAGACGGUAACAGCCCGGUAGUUGAAAUAGCUUUCCCUCCAGAGUGGAUCCUGAGUACGGCGGAACACGUGAAAUUCCGUCGGAAUCCGGGAGGACCAUCUCCCAAGGCUAAAUACUCCCUAGUGACCGAUAGUGAACCAGUACCGUGAGGGAAAGGUGAAAAGCACCCCGGAAGGGGAGUGAAACAGUUCCUGAAACCGUGUGCCUACAAGUAGUUAGAGCCCGUUAAUGGGUGAUAGCGUGCCUUUUGUAGAAUGAACCGGCGAGUUACGAUUUGUUGCAAGGUUAAGCGGAAAAAGCGGAGCCGUAGCGAAAGCGAGUCUGAAUAGGGCGCAUAAGUAACAGGUCGUAGACCCGAAACCAGGUGAUCUACCCAUGUCCAGGAUGAAGGUAAGGUAAUACUUACUGGAGGUCCGAACCCACGCACGUUGAAAAGUGCGGGGAUGAGGUGUGGGUAGCGGAGAAAUUCCAAUCGAACUUGGAGAUAGCUGGUUCUCUCCGAAAUAGCUUUAGGGCUAGCCUCGAGGUAAAGAGUCAUGGAGGUAGAGCACUGUUUGGACUAGGGGCCCUUCUCGGGUUACCGAAUUCAGAUAAACUCCGAAUGCCAUGUACUUAUACUCGGGAGUCAGACUGCGAGUGAUAAGAUCCGUAGUCGAAAGGGAAACAGCCCAGACCACCAGUUAAGGUCCCCAAAUAUAUGUUAAGUGGAAAAGGAUGUGGGGUUGCUUAGACAACCAGGAUGUUGGCUUAGAAGCAGCCACCAUUGAAAGAGUGCGUAAUAGCUCACUGGUCGAGUGACCCCGCGCCGAAAAUGUACCGGGGCUAAACAUAUUACCGAAACUGUGGAUGAACCUCUUUAGAGGUUCGUGGUAGGAGAGCGUUCUAAGGGCGGUGAAGUCAGACCGGAAGGACUGGUGGAGCGCUUAGAAGUGAGAAUGCCGGUAUGAGUAGCGAAAGAAGGGUGAGAAUCCCUUCCACCGAAUAUCUAAGGUUUCCUGAGGAAGGCUCGUCCGCUCAGGGUUAGUCGGGACCUAAGCCGAGGCCGAUAGGCGUAGGCGAUGGACAACAGGUAGAGAUUCCUGUACCAGUGCUAAUUGUUUAACCGAUGGGGUGACACAGAAGGAUAGGGAAUCGCACGAAUGGAAAUGUGCGUCCAAGCAGUGAGUGUGAGAAGUAGGCAAAUCCGCUUCUCGCGAAGCAUGAGCUGUGAUGGGGAAGGAAAUUAAGUACGGAAGUUCCUGAUUUCACGCUGUCAAGAAAAGCCUCUAGGAAGAGUAGUACUGCCCGUACCGCAAACCGACACAGGUAGAUGAGGAGAGAAUCCUAAGGUGAGCGAGAGAACUCUCGUUAAGGAACUCGGCAAAAUGACCCCGUAACUUCGGGAGAAGGGGUGCUCUAUUAGGGUGCAAGCCCGAGAGAGCCGCAGUGAAUAGGCCCAGGCGACUGUUUAGCAAAAACACAGGUCUCUGCAAAACCGUAAGGUGACGUAUAGGGGCUGACGCCUGCCCGGUGCUGGAAGGUUAAGAGGAGUGCUUAGCUUCGGCGAAGGUACGAAUUGAAGCCCCAGUAAACGGCGGCCGUAACUAUAACGGUCCUAAGGUAGCGAAAUUCCUUGUCGGGUAAGUUCCGACCCGCACGAAAGGCGCAACGAUCUGGGCACUGUCUCAACGAGAGACUCGGUGAAAUUAUAGUACCUGUGAAGAUGCAGGUUACCCGCGACAGGACGGAAAGACCCCGUGGAGCUUUACUGCAACCUGAUAUGGAAUGUUUGUACCGCUUGUACAGGAUAGGUAGGAGCCGAAGAGACGUGUGCGCUAGCAUACGAGGAGGCAAUGGUGGGAUACUACCCUGGCUGUAUGACCAUUCUAACCCGCCACGCUUAGCGCGUGGGGAGACAGUGUCAGGUGGGCAGUUUGACUGGGGCGGUCGCCUCCUAAAGAG